GGGCUGAUAGCUUAGUGGUAGAGCGCCACGUUUGCACCGUGGAGGUCAAGGGUUCAAUCCCCUUUCAGUCCA
rnacentral:tRNA from 3 species